rnacentral:lncRNA from 1 species
AUUACGUUAAUUAUAUUGAUUUUUCUCUAAAAUAGAGCUGUGAUUAUUAUAUUAGACAUAGAUUUUAUGUUAAUUUUUGCUAAAAAAAUAUUCUUAAAACUUCAAGAGAAAGUUUACUGACGAAUUCUUUUGAAAUACAAACCUUUAGUUGUGUGCCUAAAGGAGUAAACUUUCUCAUGAUAUUGUUAAGACGUUGAACAAAUCAGUGAAAUUUGCAGUAACACGCUCAUAUUUGAUAAAACUUCUUAGGAAUUUUUCAAAGUUUAUUAGUUAUCAUAUGUAUUAACUUAAAAUUUUCAGAAUUUUAAUUAUAUAGAAGCGCUUGAGAUGUAUCGAAACAGCGACACAAAUAUAUUGAUCCGUGUAAAAAUAAAAUUUAAAAAAGUUAACAAAAAAAAGAACAAAUAUGUCUUCGGAGACGUACACAUAGUUGAAUUUGAUAUUUGUAUAAAUCGAAUUAUUAAAGACAGCAUCAGAAAGAUUCACACUUUUAAAAUAAGAUUUACAUCCACUAAUCUUUUAAAAAGCUAGUUUAAUAUUGAUUUACGACAAAGAAAUGCUAUAAAAUUAAGACAGAAAAAUCUAUCUAAAACCUGAGCAGUAAAAAUUUUAAGGUUGCUGCACUUUAAUCGGAAAAGUCUCAGUGCGAUCCGACUACUUUCUAGUCACAAUAAAUCUAUUCAUAAACACAUAAAUAUGAGUGCUUUGGUAGUAAAAAUUUAUAGAGCAAUAAAAAUAUGUAACUCCAUACAGUCUGUUAAAUUUCAUCUUAGGAAGAGUCAAACGAUUUUUCAUUUAUAACUUUUAGAUUGUUUAAUGAAACCUUUAUAAGUCCCGC